rnacentral:rRNA from 1 species
CCAAUAGCGUAUAUUAAAGUUGUUGCAGUUAAAAAGCUCGUAGUUGAACUUCGGGGUUUACCCAUUGGUCAGGCUUAAUUGUCUGUACUGGUGAGAUAAAUCUCUACCUUCUGAGGAACUUUCAUGUCAUUAAUUUGGUGUGAUUGGAAAUCAGGACUGUUACUUUGACAAAAUUAGAGUGUUUAAAGCAGGCUAACGUCUGAAUACAUUAGCAUGGAAUAAUGAAAUAGGACGGACUGAUUCUAUUUCGUUGGUUUCUAGGAUCACCGUAAUGAUUAAUAGGGAUAGUUGGGGGCAUUAGUAUUCAAUUGUCAGAGGUGAAAUUCUUGGAUUUAUUGAAGACUAACUACUGCGAAAGCAUUUGCCAAGGAUGUUUUCAUUAAUCAAGAACGAAAGUUAGGGGAUCGAAGACGAUCAGAUACCGUCGUAGUCUUAACCAUAAACUAUGCCGACUAGGGAUCGGACGAAGUUAAUUUUAUAAUGACGCGUUCGGCACCUUACG